ACAAGGCCAAGUGUUAGACGGGGAGCCAUAUUUAGAUCAACCCUCAGGAGCCAGCAAAUCCAAAUCAGUGGCUCACAGCUCCAGCCGAGAACCAAUUAGAACGCUCUGCCACUUCCUGCCAACACCUCCCAAGUGAAGUCCUUUCGUCUAAGAGGAGGCGGUGGCUGCAGAAAGCCAUGUCUGCAGGAGUGGAGCAGGGAGCAUAACUGAGAGCAUUUCCUGGCAGUUGGUGGGGUAUUAGGACUAAUCACAGACACCGAGCUUACUGGGGACACUUUCAUUGAACAGGGUGGCAGAGUGGCCCAGGCAGAACAAUCAAAGGCAGAUGAAAAGGACCUGAGCCCUAGGACCAUGCCCCAGGACUACCUGACAUGAUGACUCCUUGCU